CCUGUCGUGUGUGCACUCAUUCCCAAGGGG
rnacentral:sRNA from 1 species